CGAAGUAGGAAUUUAUGCGUUAAGUGUUCAUUGGCUGGGGAGUCGCCGUGAAACGAAAAGCAGGUAGAGGCCGCUUACGAUAUAUUUUCCGCACCCGUUG
rnacentral:ncRNA from 1 species